GACAGAGGAUGCAAGCGUUAUCCAGAAUGAUUGGGCGUAAAGCGUCUGUAGGUGGCUUUUUAAGUCUGCCGUCAAAUCCCAGGGCUUAACCCUGGACAGGCGGUGGAAACUACCAAGCUGGAGUACGGUAGGGGCAGAGGGAAUUUCCGGUGGAGCGGUGAAAUGCGUAGAGAUCGGAAAGAACACCAACGGCGAAGGCACUCUGCUGGGCCGACACUGACACUGAGAGACGAAAGCUAGGGGAGCAAAUGGG
rnacentral:rRNA from 1 species